GAAAACCACUCAUGCACUGACUCUCCACAUUUCCCGACGAGUUGUCUGGAGCUGACUUCUUCUUUUGGAAAUUGCAAGAUAUGUGGGACCAGAUGGUGAGAAGAGAUGUGAGAUACACAGAGGAACCUGGGUAUUGAGAAGAUCACUGUUGUCAUUUGUCAGUAGGAAAACACUGAGCCCAUACUAUCAGGAAGCUUCCUGGGAAGAAUUUUCACUGAAUUCUCUGCUUGUAGCUCUGAACCUGUGAGCAAGAAGAAAAGGAGUUACUGCUGGAACACAACCUGGCCUGUGUAUGUAUUAGAUGCAAACA
rnacentral:lncRNA from 1 species